AUGAGCUCCUCGAUCUCGUCCUGGAGCUGGAUGCAUUCCUCUGUGUCGUGGCCGUGGUCGCGGUGGUAGAGGCAAAAUUUGUUGGGGUUGCACUUCCCGGGGUGCGUGCGCAUCCUCUCCGGCCUAGGGAGCUGUUCCCUGACCUCCAUCAAUACCUGGGCCUUCGAGGCAUUGAGGGGGGCGUAGUUGCGGAAUCUCCCUGGUGGGGAACCCCGCCGAACCCCGCGAUCCGGGCUUCUCUGCCUG
rnacentral:lncRNA from 1 species